AUGCGAGAUGAAGUAGGAUGCUGCCAGCGUGCGUCCUGGCCAACACCACCGGUGCUAGGCCCGUCCCGGACCACGCCUCAUGGCCGAGGGCAACGGCAAGCGCUGCCACGACGAGGACGCAGACCGGAAGCCCAUAUCCGGCCCACCCGCGCGCCGCCACGUGGCCACCACCAAGCGCCGUUCAGGGGCAGCCCCGCCGCCGUGAGGGACGCCGCCUCAUUUGCAGCAGGCGCCAGCCCCCGGCGGAACACCACCGCGCUCCACCGGCCGCCGCGAGAUCUGCGUGAAAACGGCGAGUACGCCCCGCCGCCACCUUCCCUGGGGACGCGGGCUUCACCGGUGUCCCCUCCGGCGGCGGCGAAGCGGGGGAGGAGCGGGGAGGGGCGGCUGGCGGCGCGGUUAGGGUUAGGAGUUGUUCAAGGUAGGAGUACUGCCGCUACGCGGAGGCGACCUGCUCGGCAUCUUCUGUACCAGCUAAAUAUCCAGCAGUACAUCAGCAAUGGAAGUCUUGAUAGCCAUAUUACUGAUGAAUUAAGGGGACUUGAAUGUGAAACACGUUAUGACAUAAUCAUCGGAAUUUGCAAGGGUCUGCGCUAUCUUCAUGAGGAAAAAAGAAUUGUUCAUAUGGACCUUAAACCGGCAAAUAUCCCACCGUGCCUCCGCCUCCGUGCCUCCGCCCAGAUCCACGGGAGCUCCACCGUACACAAGGUGCUGAGCUACUUCACCGUCAAGAGCACCAUUCUCUUCCGUCUCUCCAUGAGCAGGAAGAUGAAGGAUGCCCUUGAAAUGAUCGAUGAACUGGUUGUGGAGAUGAACAGUUUCCACUUCCUGCAACACGUCGAGGCACCGAAUGUUGAUCAUCCACAAACACACUCUCAUGUUGAUGAAAGAGAGAUUGUCGGCAGACAAGAUGAGAAGGAACAAGUGGUGAAGAUAUUGCUCGACCGCUCCCACAAGAAUAGUAACAAUAACAAUGUGAUGGUGCUCCCCAUAGUCGGUAUGGGGGGAGUUGGUAAGACCACCAUUGCUCAACUUGUGCACAACGAUCAAAGGGUAAAGCAUCAUUUUGAGUUGGUCUUAUGGGUACGCGUCUCCGACAAGUUCGUUAUUGAAGAAAUAACCCGAUGGUUGCCUCUUGCAAUCAAGACCAUAGCAGCCUUACUUAGUUCAAAGCAACAAAGUGACUGGUUUUCUGUUCUGGAUAGUGAUGUUUGGAAGCAUCAUGUCCUCGCAACUAAGAUUGUACCUGCACUACAGCUAAGCUAUGAUCACUUGCCAUCAGACGCAAAAAUAUGCUUUUCCUUCUGUGCUAUUGUCCCGAAGGAUAGCCUAAUUGACAAAGACAUGUUAAUCCAACUAUGGAUGGAAAAUGACUUUAUUCCUUCAGAAGCUAGAGGCCAACAAAUUUUUGAUGUGCUAAUUUUGAGAUGUUUCCUCCAAGAUAUGGAGAUUCAAAAGAAUGACUUCAUCCACCGACCAACUACUUGCAAGAUGCAUGAUCUCAUGCAUGACCUUGUUGGCUCCACAUUGACGAGUUUUGUCAUUUCUUGUGAAGCAGGACGUGGAAUUGAUCAACUAAAAAAAUUGAAUCUAGGCGAUGCUCUUUCUUUGACAGAGCUGGGAAAAGUGCAUACCGCAGAAAAUGCUAAACAAGGCAAUAUGUCCACCAAGCAUUUGAAAAGAUUAUCGCUUGAGUGGUAUAGACAUUAUAGCACAAAUGUUAGAUACCAAGAUACUAAUGCAGAAGAGAUAUUAGAGGCCCUUUGUCCUCACAAUACACUUGAAGUCCUAAUUCUAUGUAAUUAUACUGGUGGUAAAUUUUCAUCAUGGAUGCACAACUGUAUACUGUUAGAACAUCUCAGUGAGCUUCGUUUGAGUGAGUGGAAAAACUGCAAGGACCUCCCACCAUUAUGGCAGCUUCCCUCUCUCGUGUACUUGGAUUUGGAUAGUCUUGAUAGCUUGACAAGUUUAUGCAUUGAUAAUGAUGGUUCACACAAUGUGGAAUUCUGUACUUCUCCACUACCCUUGUUUCCUAAACUAGAAACCAUGAUACUUGCAAACAUGCCUAAGCUAGAGAGAUGGCACAAGGAGGUGGCAGGACAAGUUGCAUUUGUAUCAUUCCCUCUGCUCAAGAAGCUACAUAUUUCUGAAGCCCCAAUGCUUGCAAGCAUGCCCAAGAAGCUCAGUUUGCUUGAAGAUCUACUUCUAAAUAGGGCAAGAUGCAUUCCCCCUUAUCAGCUGAUUAGUCUGUCUGUACAAUCCAAUCUCGAGUUUAGUGGCAUCAUUUCAGUGGAACCUAUAGUUGGUUGGCUUUCUACUAAAUUUUGUUUCUCUAGGCUUGGUGACUCUAAGGUGGAACUAUAA
rnacentral:rRNA from 1 species